UGACUGUAGGUGAAAGCUUACAUCUCUUCGGAGCAUUUUACGAGGUGCUGCAUGGUUGUCGUCAGCUCGUGCCGUGAGGUGUCGGGUUAAGUCCCAUAACGAGCGCAACCCUACCUUUAGUUGCCAUCAGGUAAUGCUGGGGACUCUAAAGGAACUGCCUACGCAAGUAGUGAGGAAGGCGGGGAUGACGUCAAAUCAGCACGGCCCUUACGUCCAGGGCUACACACGUGCUACAAUGGCCGAUACAGAGGGCAGCUACCUGGUGACAGGAUGCAAAUCUCCAAAGUCGGUCUCAGUUCGGAUCGGAGUCUGCAACCCGACUCCGUGAAGUUGGAUUCGCCAGUAAUCGCGCAUCAGCCAUGGCGCGGUGAAUACGUUCCCGGGCCUU
rnacentral:rRNA from 1 species